UUUACUGUUCCCCUGGGCUCAGGACGAACGCUGGCGGCGUGCCUAAUACAUGCAAGUCGAGCGAGUCCCUUCGGGGGCUAGCGGCGGACGGGUGAGUAACACGUAGGCAACCUGCCCGUAAGUCUCGGGAUAACAUGGGGAAACUCAUGCUAAUACCGGAUAGGGUCUUCUCUCGCAUGAGAGGAGACGGAAAGGUGGCGCAAGCUACCACUUACGGAUGGGCCUGCGGCGCAUUAGCUAGUUGGUGGGGUAAACCCCCCACCAAGGCGACGAUGCGUAGCCGACCUGAGAGGGUGACCGGCCACUCUGUACCUCCCACUCUUCCCAGAAUCAUACGCCAGCCAUCAUUAAUAAUUUUUCGGCUCCUCCUACAUCUAAAAAAGCAUCUCCCCCUCCUCGAUGAAGG
rnacentral:rRNA from 1 species